rnacentral:rRNA from 1 species
GCUAUACUGCAAGUCGAGCGAAUCGACGGGAGCUUGCUCCCUGAGAUUAGCGGCGGACGGGUGAGUAACACGUGGGCAACCUGCCUAUAAGACUGGGAUAACUUCGGGAAACCGGAGCUAAUACCGGAUACGUUCUUUUCUCGCAUGAGAGAAGAUGGAAAGACGGUUUACGCUGUCACUUAUAGAUGGGCCCGCGGCGCAUUAGCUAGUUGGUGAGGUAAUGGCUCACCAAGGCGACGAUGCGUANCCGACCUGAGAGGGUGAUCGGCCACACUGGGACUGAGACACGGCCCAGACUCCUACGGGAGGCAGCAGUAGGGAAUCUUCCGCAAUGGACGAAAGUCUGACGGAGCAACGCCGCGUGAACGAAGAAGGCCUUCGGGUCGUAAAGUUCUGUUGUUAGGGAAGAACAAGUACCAGAGUAACUGCUGGUACCUUGACGGUACCUAACCAGAAAGCCACGGCUAACUACGUGCCAGCAGCCGCGGUAAUACGUAGGUGGCAAGCGUUGUCCGGAAUUAUUGGGCGUAAAGCGCGCGCNGGUGGUUCCUUAAGUCUGAUGUGAAAGCCCACGGCUCAACCGUGGAGGNUCAUUGGAAACUGGGGAACUUGAGUGCAGAAGAGGAAAGUGGAAUUCCAAGUGUAGCGGUGAAAUGCGUAGAGAUUUGGAGGNACACCAGUGGCGAAGGCGACUUUCUGGUCUGUAACUGACACUGAGGCGCGAAGCGUG